rnacentral:rRNA from 1 species
AAUCAACGCUGGCGGCGUGCCUAACACAUGCAAGUCGAACGAGAAAGUGGAGCAAUCCAUGAGUAAAGUGGCGACCGGGUGAGUAACACGUGACUAACCUGCCCUAGAGUGGGGGAUAACCUCGGGAAACCGGGGCUAAUACCGCAUAACAUAACGAGGGGAAGAUCAUUGUGAUCAAAGGAGCAAUUCGCUCCGGGAGGGGGUCGCGGCUGAUUAGUUAGUUGGCGGGGUAACGGCCCACCAAGACGAAGAUCAGUAGCCGGCCUGAGAGGGCGCACGGCCACACUGGAACUGAAACACGGUCCAGACUCCUACGGGAGGCAGCAGUGGGGAAUUUUGCGCAAUGGGGGAAACCCUGACGCAGCAACGCCGCGUGGAGGACGAAGUCCCUUGGGAUGUAAACUCCUUUCGAUCGGGACGAUAAUGACGGUACCGGAAGAAGAAGCACCGGCUAACUCUGUGCCAGCCGCCGCGGUAAGAC